GUUACAUACCAAACUAUAAAUAGUUAGGCAGUUUUUAAAAAAUGUAAUUAAUGGGAAAGUCCUCAAGAAUUUUUAAAAUGAUUCUCAAUCAUCCAAGUGAAUUGGGGAAAAAAUGAUUCAAAUUAGAGAAUAUUGAUUAAUGGGGAGCAAAUAGAUUUGUGUUUAUGUAAGAUGAAAAAUAGUCCAUAUGCAAGAUGAAAAAGAUAGGAG
rnacentral:lncRNA from 1 species